CCUACGGGAGGCAGCAGUGGGGAAUAUUGGGCAAUGGAGGAAACUCUGACCCAGCAACGCCGCGUGAAUGAUGAAGGUCUUCGGAUUGUAAAGUUCUUUUCUAAGGGAAGAAGAAAGUGACGGUACCUUAGGAAUAAGCCUCGGCUAACUACGUGCCAGCAGCCGCGGUAAUACGUAGGAGGCAAGCGUUAUCCGGAAUGACUGGGCGUAAAGGGUGCGUAGGUGGUUUGACAAGUUGGUAGCGUAACUCCGGGGCUCAACCUCGGCACUACUACCAAAACUGUCGGACUUGAGUACAGGAGGGGCAGGCGGAAUUCCUAGUGUAGCGGUGAAAUGCGUAGAGAUUAGGAGGAACACCGGUGGCGAAGGCGGCCUGCUGGACUGUGACUGACGUUGAGGCCCGAAGGCGUGGGGAGCAAACAGGAUUAGAUACCCCAGUAGUC
rnacentral:rRNA from 1 species